rnacentral:rRNA from 1 species
CCUACGGGAGGCAGCAGUGAGGAAUAUUGGUCAAUGGGCGCAAGCCUGAACCAGCCAAGUAGCGUGCAGGAUGACGGCCCUCCGGGUUGUAAACUGCUUUUAGUUGGGAAUAACAGGGGACUCGUGAGCCCAGUCUUGUAUGUACCAUCAGAAAAACGACCGGCUAAUUCCGUGCCAGCAGCCGCGGUAGUACGGAAGGUCCGGGCGUUAUCCGGAUGUUUUGGGUUUAAAGGGAGCGUAUGCCGGCUUUUAAGCCACAUGGGAAAGUCCGCGGCUCAACCGUGGAAGUGCAGUUGAAAUUGGAGGCCGUGAGUGCACACAGGGAUGCCGGAAUUCAUGGUGUAGCGGUGAAAUGCUUAGAUAUCAUGAAGAACUCCGAUCGCGAAGGCAAGUGUCCGGGGUGCAACUGACGCUGAGGCUCGAAAGUGCGGGUAUCAAACAGGAUUAGAUACCCGGGUAGUC